CACAUGACUCUCGGCAACGGAUAUCUCGGCUCUCGCAUCGAUGAAGAACGUAGCGAAAUGCGAUACCUGGUGUGAAUUGCAGAAUCCCGCGAACCAUCGAGUCUUUGAACGCAAGUUGCGCCCGAGGCCACCCGGCCGAGGGCACGCCUGCCUGGGCGUCACGC
rnacentral:rRNA from 1 species